rnacentral:rRNA from 1 species
GAUGAACGCUGGCGGCGUGCCUAAUACAUGCAAGUCGAGCGAACAGACGAGGAGCUUGCUCCUCUGACGUUAGCGGCGGACGGGUGAGUAACACGUGGAUAACCUACCUAUAAGACUGGGAUAACUUCGGGAAACCGGAGCUAAUACCGGAUAAUAUUUUGAACCGCAUGGUUCAAUAGUGAAAGACGGUCUUGCUGUCACUUAUAGAUGGAUCCGCGCCGCAUUAGCUAGUUGGUAAGGUAACGGCUUACCAAGGCAACGAUGCGUAGCCGACCUGAGAGGGUGAUCGGCCACACUGGAACUGAGACACGGUCCAGACUCCUACGGGAGGCAGCAGUAGGGAAUCUUCCGCAAUGGGCGAAAGCCUGACGGAGCAACGCCGCGUGAGUGAUGAAGGUCUUCGGAUCGUAAAACUCUGUUAUUAGGGAAGAACAUAUGUGUAAGUAACUGUGCACAUCUUGACGGUACCUAAUCAGAAAGCCACGGCUAACUACGUG